rnacentral:rRNA from 1 species
GGGCCCGCACAAGCGGUGGAGCAUGUGGUUUAAUUCGAUGCAACGCGAAGAACCUUACCAGGGCUUGACAUACUACGAAUUUUCUUGAAAGAGAAAGUGCCUUCGGGAAUGUAGAUACAGGUGGUGCAUGGCUGUCGUCAGCUCGUGUCGUGAGAUGUUGGGUUAAGUCCCGCAACGAGCGCAACCCUUAUUUUUAGUUACCAAUUCGUUGGGUUCUCUAGAAAGACUGCCGGUGACAAACCGGAGGAAGGUGAGGAUGACGUCAAGUCAGCAUGCCCCUUAUGUCCUGGGCUACACACGUGCUACAAUGGUUAAGACAGACGGCCGCAAACCCGCGAGGGGAGCCAA